AGAGUUUGAUCCUGGCUCAGGACGAACGCUGGCGGCGUGCUUAACACAUGCAAGUGGAGCGACGAACCAGGCUUCGGCCUGGGGCAGAGCCGCGAACGGGUGAGUAACACGUGGGUAACCUGCCCCGAUGACCGGGACAACCCGAGGAAACUCGGGCUAAUACCGGAUGCGUACACCUCACAUCAGUGGAGUGUGCAAAGGUAGCUUCGGCCUCCGCAUCGGGAUGGGCCCGCGGCCCAUUAGCUUGUUGGUGAGGUAACGGCUCACCAAGGCGACGAUGGGUAGCUCGGUCUGAGAUGACGAUCGAACCACACUGGGACUCACGAAGGAGGGGAGUACAUAAGAAACACCCACGGGCCCCCCCAAGAACCUCCCUUACCCGGGAGGACAGCCAGCAGUGGGGNAAUAUNCCGCCACUCUCCAAAAAUUAUCUGCCACCCGCCCCGGCGGGAGUGAGGGNACGGACCGGUCCUGUGCUGAGGUUGCGGUGAUAAUGCCUUACCGUGGGUUUCAGGAAGUUAACGGGGGGCAACCGCCGAAAGGUGCCAGCCAAUCCGGUGACCCGGGGGUUAUCACGCAUGAGCUACGCUAGUGUAACUAGUAGCGCUCGNGCAGAUAAGUGGAUCGAGCGUGUACUCNUUCAAGAAAGGACGCCCUCCGGGUCCUAAACCUACCGUUUGGCCCAAGCCCAUGCCGCCGGCAGUGAUUUAAAUUUU
rnacentral:rRNA from 1 species